CCUACGGGAGGCAGCAGUAGGGAAUCUUCCGCAAUGGACGAAAGUCUGACGGAGCAACGCCGCGUGAGUGAUGAAGGUUUUCGGAUCGUAAAACUCUGUUGUUAGGGAAGAACAAGUACCGUUCGAAUAGGGCGGYACCUUGACGGUACCUAACCAGAAAGCCACGGCUAACUACGUGCCAGCAGCCGCGGUAAUACGUAGGUGGCAAGCGUUGUCCGGAAUUAUUGGGCGUAAAGCGCGCGCAGGCGGUUUCUUAAGUCUGAUGUGAAAGCCCCCGGCUCAACCGGGGAGGGUCAUUGGAAACUGGGGAACUUGAGUGCAGAAGAGGAGAGUGGAAUUCCACGUGUAGCGGUGAAAUGCGUAGAGAUGUGGAGGAACACCAGUGGCGAAGGCGACUCUCUGGUCUGUAACUGACGCUGAGGCGCGAAAGCGUGGGGAGCGAACAGGAUUAGAUACCCUGGUAGUCCACGCCGUAAACGAUGAGUGCUAAGUGUUAGAGGGUUUCCGCCCUUUAGUGCUGCAGCAAACGCAUUAAGCACUCCGCCUGGGGAGUACGGUCGCAAGACUGAAACUCAAAGGAAUUGACGG
rnacentral:rRNA from 1 species